rnacentral:rRNA from 1 species
GGUUAAGCGACUAAGCGUACACGGUGGAUGCCCUGGCAGUCAGAGGCGAUGAAGGACGUGCUAAUCUGCGAUAAGCGUCGGUGAGGUGAUAUGAACCGUUAUAACCGGCGAUUUCCGAAUGGGGAAACCCAGUGUGUUUCGACACACUAUCAUUAACUGAAUCCAUAGGUUAAUGAGGCGAACCGGGGGAACUGAAACAUCUAAGUACCCCGAGGAAAAGAAAUCAACCGAGAUUCCCCCAGUAGCGGCGAGCGAACGGGGAGGAGCCCAGAGCCUGAAUCAGUGUGUGUGUUAGUGGAAGCGUCUGGAAAGGCGCGCGAUACAGGGUGACAGCCCCGUACACAAAAAUGCACAUACUGUGAGCUCGAUGAGUAGGGCGGGACACGUGGUAUCCUGUCUGAAUAUGGGGGGACCAUCCUCCAAGGCUAAAUACUCCUGACUGACCGAUAGUGAACCAGUACCGUGAGGGAAAGGCGAAAAGAACCCCGGCGAGGGGAGUGAAAAAGAACCUGAAACCGUGUACGUACAAGCAGUGGGAGCCUCUUAAUGGGGUGACUGCGUACCUUUUGUAUAAUGGGUCAGCGACUUAUAUUCUGUAGCAAGGUUAACCGAAUAGGGGAGCCGAAGGGAAACCGAGUCUUAACUGGGCGUUAAGUUGCAGGGUAUAGACCCGAAACCCGGUGAUCUAGCCAUGGGCAGGUUGAAGGUUGGGUAACACUAACUGGAGGACCGAACC